AAAAAAACGACAAAACACUUUACCUUUUUCGUAGGGUUUCUUCACCAAAGGCGACGAAACGCACUCCUCAUCGUCUCCGCCACAUCCAGCUCCGACUGUCCCUUCUCCGUCACAACCGAUUUUUUCUCUGUCACCUCUACCGUAAACGGCUUCGUCUCCAGCAUCCUCCAAGCUAACUCAUGUUGCAAAGCUAGGCGGUGAAAAGUGGAAGUCUUUGACAGAAGAAAUGAGUUGCUCUGUUCUUUGUUUCUUCCCUAGGUUGCAUGGUGAUUUGCCUAUCGUGAUAUAACUCGGAUUGUAUUAAGUGGCUAUUUAGGAUAAGAAAGUUUAUUUGGAUAAGGAGACAGAGUAUAGCAAGUCACUGGAAAACAACAAUGCUGAUGAAGAACUAUGUGAAGAAGAUGAGGAGAAGCAAUCUGAUAAGUCUAAUGAGGCUGAGGAGAAUGAAGAUGUGAAAGAAAAACCUGAUGAGGCUACUUUCUUUUGGUCUGAUCUCAUUCAAAUGGAUUUAACUGUAUAUUGUGAUGGUGCAUUGUAAAUUUUAAGCCUUUAUUUUGGUGAAAUCAGUUAUUGUAUUCUACUUGUUGAAUCAAAUUGAUGAUAUUUUAUUUACAUGGA